AACGAACGCUGGCGGCAGGCUUAACACAUGCAAGUCGAACGCAUCCUUCGGGGUGAGUGGCAGACGGGUGAGUAACGCGUGGGAACGUGCCCUUCAGUUCGGGAUAACCCAGGGAAACUUGGGCUAAUACCGGAUACGUGCGAGAGCAGAAAGAUUUAUCGCUGAAGGAUCGGCCCGCGCCUGAUUAGCUAGUUGGGGGGGUAAUGGCCCACCAAGGCGACGUUCAGUAGAUGGUCUGAGAGGAUGAUCAGCCACAUUGGGACUGGGACACGGCCCAAACUCCGACGGGAGGCAGCAGUGGGGAAUAUUGGACAAUGGGCGCAAGCCUGAUCCAGCCAUGCCGCGUGAGGGAUGACGGCCUUCGGGUUGUAAACCUCUUUUAGUAGGGAAGAAGCGAAAGUGACGGUACCUGCAGAAAAAGCACCGGCUAACUACGUGCCAGCAGCCGCCGUAA
rnacentral:rRNA from 1 species